rnacentral:rRNA from 1 species
ACGCUCGACACCUACGGGAGGUAGCAGUGGGGAAUAUUGCACAAUGGGGGAAACCCUGAUGCAGCGACGCCGCGUGAGCGAAGAAGUAUUUCGGUAUGUAAAGCUCUAUCAGCAGGGAAGAAACUGACGGUACCUGACUAAGAAGCACCGGCUAAAUACGUGCCAGCAGCCGACGGUAAUCUGAGGCGGGCGUGGACGAAGGC